rnacentral:sRNA from 1 species
UUUGAACCUUUUUCCUAACAUACACCUUUAAAGUCUUAUCAAAAUAACACUAGUAACACUGAUUGAAAAAGAAAUCCGUAUAGACAUUGAUAUAAAUUAGCCACUACAACCUCCAAAAGAAAACUAUGAUUGACAUCCCCUGAAAAACAACUCCAUCGACAUUGGUCAAAAAAACCUUGACAAACAUCAAUUGAAAAGUAGCUCUCGUGAAAAUACUUUUAACAAUGGCAAUCAAAAAAUAAACUCUAUCAAGUCUACUAAAAAACUCUAACUUACAUCAACCAAAAAAUAGUUUCAUCGAUGUCAAUUAAAAACUCCGGCUAACAUUAUCAGCUGAGAAAUAGAUUUAUCUAUUUUGGUCUAGAUAACCUUAAUUUUAAUGCUGGUUGAAAAAUAACCUGGACGUAGGUUUUGUCAACAUUGGUCAAAAAACAACCCUGACUAACAUUAACCAAAAAUAAUCCAAGGUGAUGCCCAACCAAAAGAUUCAUGUUUGACCUCAUUCGAUAAACAAUGUUGAUGUUGUCAAAGAAAACACUAUCGGGAAUUGAGAAAUAUCAUCGAACUAUAUCAACACAAAAUGAAAAAUUGGUGAUGGCAACUGAAAAAUAAAUGCAGUCGACUUUAACACGAGAAAAACUUAGUCAACAUCCAUCUUCAAAACGAUGUUGUGUUGACAAUGGUUGGACCUGGAUCUAGGUGAAAGCCAAGACCUUAAUUGAGCCAACACGACCUCAGCUAAAUCUGCUUGAAGCUACCCUGAUCAACGCUUAAAAGGAGAAGGAAUAUAAAGAGAAGAGACAUACAUUUAGUAGA